rnacentral:rRNA from 1 species
AAAUAGCAUAUCAAUAAGCGGUGGAAAAGAAAAUAACCAUGAUUCCCUUAGUAACGGCGAGUGAAGUGGGAAGUGCUCAAAUUUAAAAUCCCUUUUGGGAAUUGUAAUUUAUAGAAUAAAUGGUUAGUAAGUGGAGAUUAAAGUCUGCUGGAAAGCAUGCGCUAGAAAGGGUGAUAGCCCCGUUCAGUCUCUUAACUUGCUUCUAUGCCAUUAUUUCAACGAGUCAGGUUGCUUGGGAAUGCAGCCUAAAUUUGGUGGUAAACUCCAUCUAAAGCUAAAUAUUGAUCAGUGACCGAUAGCAAACAAGUACCGUGAGGGAAAGAUGAAAAGAACCUUGAAAAGGGGGUUAAAAGUACGUGAAAUUGUUAUUAGGAAAGCACUUAGUCUCAUUGUGGAUUAGAUCAGUCUGUUUCGGCAGAUACUGUCCUAAUUAGUUAUGAUCAGUUAGCGUUGAUAAAGAAAAUUUGUGAUAAGGUAUUAGUGUAGUGCUAAACUUAAAGAUCACUUAUUAUUUGUCGAUACUGACUGAGGAAUGCUACUUAAUCUUUUUGAGUAAAUAGUUUGUGGAGUUAGGUUAAACAACAUGUUGAUUAGCUUAAUUAAAGCGAUCUAUUUGCUUUAGAACUUAAGUACAGGAUCAUAAUUAAAUGAUACUAAAUGACCCGUCUUGAAACACGGACCAAGGAGUCUAACAUGAUUGCGAGUUACAGGGUGACAAACCUUUGGGCGCAAUGAAAGUGAUAAAGAUAGGAUAGGUAACACUUGCACUAUCAACCUAAACUGAUGAUUUUUUCUGACGUUUUAGAGUUAGAGCAGUCAUGUUGGGACCCGAAAGAUGGUGAGCUAUGCUUGAAUAGGGCAAAGCCAGAGGAAACUCUGGUGGAGGCUCGUAGCGAUUCUGACGUGCAAAUCGAUCGUCAAAUUUGAGCAUAGGGGCGAAAGACUAAUCGAACCUUCUAAUGGCUGGUUCCUGCGA